rnacentral:lncRNA from 1 species
CUUAAAUUUUUAUUUUACUAUAAAUUUUUAUUAAAUUUAAUGACUUAUAAUAAUUAAAUUUUAUAAUUUAAUUUAGAGUAAACUUCAAAUGUCAUUCAUGUGGUUUCAUUAUUUUUCACUUUAAUGUCUUGUGAUUUAAAGUAUAUAACUUUAGUAUUCUGCAAUUUUAUUCUUUUUCUUUUCGUCAGCGUCUCAGUUAAUUCUUCAUUAAAUUAUAUACAAAAAAAACUUUAAGUACUCCAUUUAUAAUUUAUCGAAUAUUCAUUUAAUAAACUGUGAUUUAUCGAAUUUUCACUUUAGUAUUAUAUAAUGAAAAAAAUUAACAGAGAAGAUAACGAAAAACGAAAAAUAAAAUCAUAGAAUAUGAAAAUAAUAUAUUUUAAACCAUAAGAUAAUAAAAUAAAAAAAUUCGAAGCUACAAGAGUGGUAUUUGAAAAUUUUUCUUAAAUUUAAUUGACUAAAAAUUAGAGUGUGGCCAGUAUAAAAUUAAUAUAUUUAUAUUCUGAUCGAUGAUGCGAUAAUUAUUAAGAUAUUAUAUAUAUAUAGAGAGAGAGAGAGAGAGAGAGAGAAUUAGACUGGAAUACUAUUAAUAGUAAAACUCUUUUUUUGCUAUCAAGUUUUUAAUCCUUGGAUGAAAAAUUAUAGGGUUAGGAUGAUAUUAGUCAGUUAGAGUUGAGUGGUCCCCCUAGGGUUGAGUGGUCCCCACUGGGUUAUAGUAUUGAAUCCAAUGGCUAGAAAUGAUGAAAAGAGUUGAUCCAAGGGCUAAAAAACUGAUAGCAACAAUGGGAUUUUGCUACUAAUAGUAGCCCAGUUCAACUAUAUAUAUAUAUAUAUAUAUAUAUAUAUAAGAGUUGGGUUUUUUUUGCAAAUAUCCCCUUGAAAAAAUUUUAUUUUGAAAAUAGUCUUGUCAAAAUUUAAUUUGUAAAAAUGGUCCUACUCCUGCCACGCAGGCGCCACGUCAAUGCCACACGGACAGGACUGGGACCGGUGUGUUAAGUUGAACACGGUGAACCGUUCACCGUAUUCAAACACGAUCAAUGAUUCACCAUAUUUAAUUAAAAAUUAAACACGUCAGUCCUGCCGGUGGCGCUGACAUGGCGCCUGCGUGGCAAAGACAUGAUCAUUUUUGUAAAUUAAAUUUUGACAGGACUAUUUUUAAAAUAAAUUUGUCCGGGUGCUAAAUUGAAAAAAAAAAGCCC